rnacentral:rRNA from 1 species
GACGAACGCUGGCGGCGUGCUUAACACACGCAAGUCGAGCGGUAAGGCCCUUUCGGGGGUACGACGAGCGGCGGAACGGGUGGGUAACACGUGGGUGACCUGCCCUCCAGCUCUGGGAGUAAGCCUGGGAAACCGGGUCUAAUACUGGAUAUGACUCCAUGACGCAUGUUGUAGGGUGGAAAGCCUUGUGCGGCUGAGGAUGGGCCCGCGGCCUAUCAGCUUGUUGGUGGGGUGAUGGCCACCAAGGCGACGACGGGUAGCCGGCCUG